GUGACAGAUUGAGAGCUCUUUCUUGAUUCGGUGGGUGGUGGUGCAUGGCCGUUCUUAGUUGGUGGAGCGAUUUGUCUGGUUAAUUCCGAUAACGAACGAGACUCUAGCCUGCUAACUAGGCGAUUUCCGGUACCCACAAUAGUGUUACCGGCGAUUCAAUUUCUUCUUAGAGGGACAGGCGGCUCCUAGC
rnacentral:rRNA from 1 species